rnacentral:lncRNA from 1 species
CCAAGCCUAAACUCCUACUACUCGCACUCCGGAGCAGGUAGCUCCCCAGAUUUAGACUCCACUGGUUCAACUAGUUGGAGCAGUUCAGCCGGGUAUAGUGGCUAAGAUGGACGAUAGAGAGGCUAUGUUCGUCGAUGCUUUGUGGAGAUUGGACAGAUUCACCAAGCUCUUUACUACUACUUACAUCGGUGCUUCUUUUGAGGAUCCCCCCAGAUUUCUUAUAUAGCUACCUAGAGGUUCUCAGGAACAUGAGCAUUGUUGAGGCAAAUGGGGCUUAUUUUGCUACAUUUCACCUGUCUGGAUCUGCCAAGACUUGAUGUCGACCACCGCCUUUUCCAUCCAAAUUGGGUUUCGAAAAUCAGGUAUACAAAAUUAUGGGAGGAAAACUUUUAUUCCCUUGCAAGAAUUAGGUUUCAGAAUUUGGAGAGUCUCCACCUAAUGAUUAUAGUGCAUUAGGACACUUUUAAAGAAAAUAAAAAAAGACGAAGAAUUAGAGUUUGGGUAAGGGCGUGAGAUUAUCUCAAGGGGAAGGUGUUGAGCACCCCUCAAGAUCCACUAGUGUGGUUCCCGGCUAUACUACAAUUGUGACUUUAAAAGUUAGAAGAAACAAAUAAGGUUUUCACAUAAUUAUUGUAAACAAGUUAAAAGUUUUUAAAAGAGAAAAGAAACGGAAAGUUUUAGAAAGUUAGUUAACAGAAACAAAAUUAAAAGAAAUAUUAUAAGUAAAGGGAAAGAGGGCCUAGGUUUAUACAUAAUAUGGAUCACAUCAAUGCAAUACCCGCGCGUACACUUCUCAAAAGAGUGUCCGCACGUGAUGUUAGCGCUCCAGUCAUCAUAUCCAUAUUCUAUCCUUCCCACCACAUUAAGGUAUUAAAGCGCAAAUAAUCCCGUUUUCUUUUGCAUGCUAUUACCCGCACCGAUCCUAUCAAUUCCGAGGUAUUAUGACUUCUAAUCCUAAAUGGGAGAAAGGGAUGGGGGCCUUUAUGGAGUUUAAAGGAACAAAAAGAUACUACUUUGACAUUGAAAACAUGUAUCAAAUAAAGGGAGGAAAAAGAAAGAAAAUAAAGCUCCGAUAAACCCCUUAAAUCAGAUAAGUCAUGUAGUUUAGCAUGUCUAUGCAAGUACUGGUUUGGACUUAAAUUAGAUUAAGCAGUGAGCGGGCUUGUUCAACACAUAUAUUUAGACAGAAAGUCUGCAAUACACAUACUCGGAUGCAGUUGUCAGAGAUUAAUG